rnacentral:rRNA from 1 species
GAUGAACGCUGGCGGCGUGCCUAAUACAUGCAAGUCGAGCGAACGGACGAGAAGCUUGCUUCUCUGAUGUUAGCGGCGGACGGGUGAGUAACACGUGGAUAACCUACCUAUAAGACUGGGAUAACUUCGGGAAACCGGAGCUAAUACCGGAUAAUAUUUUGAACCGCAUGGUUCAAAAGUGAAAGACGGUCUUGCUGUCACUUAUAGAUGGAUCCGCGCUGCAUUAGCUAGUUGGUAAGGUAACGGCUUACCAAGGCAACGAGGCAUAGCCGACCUGAGAGGGUGGUCGGCCACACUAGAACUGAGCCACGGUCCAGACUCCUACGGGAGGCAGCAGUAGGGAAUCUUCCGCAAUGGGCGGAAGCCUGACGGAGCAACGCCGCGUGAGUGAUGAAGGUCUUCGGAUCGUAAUACUCUGUUAUUAGGGAAGAACAUAUGUGUAAGUAACUGUGCACAUCUUGACGGUACCUAAUCAGAAAGCCACGGCUAACUACGUG